rnacentral:lncRNA from 1 species
GUGUGUCUUUUUAUCAGAAUUAUUGAACAUUACACUACAUAACUGAAAUGAAACAUCUGCUUAAAGUGGUACCUAACACAACAGGGAGAUAACUCUGUAAAGUCAUCCAAAAUUUUAAUUACGUUGUGUUGUAAAAGAAAUAGUUAGCUUCUCAAUGAUCAAAAUUGGUGUUUGUCAAACUGCUAUAUAACCAGUGUAAUUUUUCUGACAAAACGGUUGGUUCAAAAUUUUUGAAAUUUUUAUAGUUUUGUUAAAGGGUCAAAGUACAUACUUUGACAAAAUUUUAUGAAAAUUAAACGAGCCAAAUUAAUUUAAAUGAAAGUGUUGUGUACCAC